UACGGAGGGAGCUAGCGUUGUUCGGAAUUACUGGGCGUAAAGCGCACGUAGGCGGCUUUGUAAGUUAGAGGUGAAAGCCCGGGGCUCAGCUCCGGAACUGCCUUUAAGACUGCAUCGCUUGAAUCCAGGAGAGGUGAGUGGAAUUCCGAGUGUAGAGGUGAAAUUCGUAGAUAUUCGGAAGAACACCAGUGGCGAAGGCGGCUCACUGGACUGGUAUUGACGCUGAGGCGCGAAAGCGUGGGGAGCGAACAGG
rnacentral:rRNA from 1 species